rnacentral:rRNA from 2 species
AGAGUUUGAUCAUGGCUCAGAUUGAACGCUGGCGGCAGGCCUAACACAUGCAAGUCGAACGGUAACAGGAAGCAGCUUGCUGCUUUGCUGACGAGUGGCGGACGGGUGAGUAAUGUCUGGGAAACUGCCUGAUGGAGGGGGAUAACUACUGGAAACGGUGGCUAAUACCGCAUAACGUCGCAAGACCAAAGAGGGGGACCUUCGGGCCUCUUGCCAUCAGAUGUGCCCAGAUGGGAUUAGCUUGUUGGUGAGGUAACGGCUCACCAAGGCGACGAUCCCUAGCUGGUCUGAGAGGAUGACCAGCCACACUGGAACUGAGACACGGUCCAGACUCCUACGGGAGGCAGCAGUGGGGAAUAUUGCACAAUGGGCGCAAGCCUGAUGCAGCCAUGCCGCGUGUAUGAAGAAGGCCUUCGGGUUGUAAAGUACUUUCAGCGGGGAGGAAGGUGUUGUGGUUAAUAACCACAGCAAUUGACGUUACCCGCAGAAGAAGCACCGGCUAACUCCGUGCCAGCAGCCGCGGUAAUACGGAGGGUGCAAGCGUUAAUCGGAAUUACUGGGCGUAAAGCGCACGCAGGCGGUCUGUCAAGUCGGAUGUGAAAUCCCCGGGCUCAACCUGGGAACUGCAUUCGAAACUGGCAGGCUUGAGUCUUGUAGAGGGGGGUAGAAUUCCAGGUGUAGCGGUGAAAUGCGUAGAGAUCUGGAGGAAUACCGGUGGCGAAGGCGGCCCCCUGGACAAAGACUGACGCUCAGGUGCGAAAGCGUGGGGAGCAAACAGGAUUAGAUACCCUGGUAGUCCACGCCGUAAACGAUGUCUACUUGGAGGUUGUGCCCUUGAGGCGUGGCUUCCGGAGCUAACGCGUUAAGUAGACCGCCUGGGGAGUACGGCCGCAAGGUUAAAACUCAAAUGAAUUGACGGGGGCCCGCACAAGCGGUGGAGCAUGUGGUUUAAUUCGAUGCAACGCGAAGAACCUUACCUGGUCUUGACAUCCACGGAAGAAUUCAGAGAUGGAUUUGUGCCUUCGGGAACCGUGAGACAGGUGCUGCAUGGCUGUCGUCAGCUCGUGUUGUGAAAUGUUGGGUUAAGUCCCGCAACGAGCGCAACCCUUAUCCUUUGUUGCCAGCGGUCCGGCCGGGAACUCAAAGGAGACUGCCAGUGAUAAACUGGAGGAAGGUGGGGAUGACGUCAAGUCAUCAUGGCCCUUACGACCAGGGCUACACACGUGCUACAAUGGCGCAUACAAAGAGAAGCGACCUCGCGAGAGCAAGCGGACCUCAUAAAGUGCGUCGUAGUCCGGAUUGGAGUCUGCAACUCGACUCCAUGAAGUCGGAAUCGCUAGUAAUCGUGGAUCAGAAUGCCACGGUGAAUACGUUCCCGGGCCUUGUACACACCGCCCGUCACACCAUGGGAGUGGGUUGCAAAAGAAGUAGGUAGCUUAACCUUCGGGAGGGCGCUUACCACUUUGUGAUUCAUGACUGGGGUGAAGUCGUAACAAGGUAACCGUAGGGGAACCUGCGGUUG